rnacentral:lncRNA from 1 species
CACUAAAAUAAAAUGGCUUUCUUUGUUUUAACUUUGUGUCCUGUCUUCCUCCUACACUUCCAGGUCAGGCCCUUUUAUCCACCCUGGAGUGCAGCUCUCCUCUGUAGAAGUUGUCAAUCAUAGAACACCCUACCAGAACCGAGGUCAGAAAACACCUCUGUGUUGGGAAUCUGAUGGCAUAGGAACCGCCAGGGCACAGGCAAACUUGGGAACUAACUUAGACACAGAGUGCUCAGCCCAGCACCUCUCCUCUGGUCUUUUAUUUUGCCUGAAUGUGAAUGAAAAGACCUGGAUUCUUAGCAGUCAGCAGAGCAUUUGAAGGCCACGUCCCAUCUGCAAAUCACACUUACUGGUAUUUUGAGUGAAAGUCAUCGGGGUCUUCCCUGAGCCACGGUGACAGAUAACAGAUGUCUAAGGAGUGUGUAGACUUAAAGAAAAAUGACUCGGGAUACAAACAAACUCAUGCAGCAAACUGUAUCACGCAACAGCUAUAUUACAGACACUCCCACACAUCACCCAAGCCUCUAACUACUUCUUCCCAAGAGAAGGUCGCCGCAAGUCUCAGCCCUUUCUUGGGCUUCCUCUAUCUUGCUCUACCUGCCCUGGGUUCCACUUCACGUCUUUCCCGUGUCUAAAGCCAUCAAUCAUAUCCUGAGAAAGGUCCCCAUGUCCCAGUUGCUCAAAUACCUGUAUCCUUGAUGUGGUAUCUGGAGUUAUUUUGAAUCAGUUGACUAGCAAAGCUGUCCCAGACAGCUUCAGAAGAAGACAGCCCCAGGCGUGGGUGACUUAGAAGCUCCUCCAGAGGCCUAUUUGUGUGGCUGGAGGCUGGAGGCCUUCGAGUACACGGUAGUAACCCCAGAGAAGCACCGAGGGCAGCAGCCAACAGUCCAGGAUGGUUUUGCAACAGUGGAGGAGGAGGAAGGCUCUUUCAUCAAAUAAUAACCAGCCAGAGAUAAGGUCUGCUAGGCUGAGCUUGAUCAGCCAAUCGAAAGCUUCAGAGCAUGAGAAGAGGCAGACUCGGGCUUCCGGAGCCAGUUUUAGGGCUCGUUAUAAUUUAAUGAUGCUGCACUGGGGAGGCAGCAAGCUGAGGCAGAAAUGGUGUGUCGUCCUGCCCUCAUGACACAUGGCACAUCACGGGAGACGUGAGUUUAUUAAAAGGGUCCUUGGUGGAAGGGAGCCAAAGUCUGGGCCAGUGACAGUGCUUGUUGUGAAGGCGUGCUUGUCUAAAGAGAACAAAGCAAGGGAUCCCACAGUAGUAAUGGGAAGCCCAGUGGAAGAUCAGAGGGUAGAGCGGCGCCACAUACUGUCCAGGGGACUGCAUACAAGAAGUGAACACUGAGACAAACUAAAAGUCAAAUUUGUGUCAUGUAUGUGUGCAUGCAUGAGUGUGCAUGUGUGUUUAUGGGUGUGUAUGUGUGUAUGGGUAUGUGUGUGUACUGGUG